ensembl:rRNA 5S_rRNA 5S ribosomal RNA
GCCUACAGCCAUACCAUUCUGAAUGUGCCUGAUCUCAGAAGUUAAGGAGACCUGGGCCUGGUUAGUACGUGGAUUUGAAGACAUGGUGCCAUUAAUC